rnacentral:rRNA from 1 species
GAGGGGCUCGCGGCCUAUCAGCUAGUUGGCGGGGUAAUGGCCCACCAAGGCUCUGACGGGUAGCUGGUCUGAGAGGAUGGCCAGCCACAUUGGGACUGAGAAACGGCCCAGACUCCUACGGGAGGCAGCAGUGGGGAAUCUUGCGCAAUGGCCGAAAGGCUGACGCAGCGACGCCGCGUGUGGGAGGACGCCCUUCGGGGUGUAAACCACUGUUGCCCGGGACGAACACCUUCUUUCGAGAAGGCUGACGGUACCGGGUGAGGAAGCACCGGCUAACUCCGUGCCAGCAGCCGCGGUAAUACGGAGGGUGCGAGCGUUGUCCGGAAUCACUGGGCGUAAAGGGCGCGUAGGCGGCAGGGAAAGUCGGCGGUGAAAGCCCGGGGCUCAACUCCGGGUCGGCCGUUGAUACUUCUUUGCUCGAGCACUGUAGAGGCAGAUGGAAUUCCGGGUGUAGCGGUGGAAUGCGUAGAGAUCCGGAAGAACACCGGUGGCGAAGGCGGUCUGCUGGCAGUUGCUGACGCUGAUGCGCGACAGCGUGGGGAGCAAACAGGAUUAGAUGCCCUGGUAGUCCACGCCGUAAACGAUGGGCACUAGGUGC